AUGGUGACAUGUAUGCUGAAGGAAGUCGGUUUUGAUUCGAUAUUAAAAAAAUCGGUCAUACAGUUGCAAAACCUCGGUCUGACGAACAGAAACCUGCUAUAAGGCGGCGAAAGGUGGACGAGACUGCCACAUAAGUCAAAGUCCAAUAGCUAGACGGAACCUUAGUCGUAAAGCAGGCAGAUAUAUGAGGCGGAAGAAA
rnacentral:ncRNA from 1 species